rnacentral:tRNA from 1 species
GCGUCAGUGGUUCAAUGGUAGAACUCUUGCUUUCCACAGAGAAGCCCAGGUUUGAUUCCUGGCCAAUGCA